rnacentral:lncRNA from 1 species
AUUUUAAGAAGGAGGACCAUCUGGACAUGAGAGGCCAAAUGCACAGCUGAGGGGGGAAGAGACAGCAUAAAUGUUGGUACUAGAGGGAUGGGUAUCUGUUGAGUUCUCAGAGGGAGCUCUCAGGUUAUGCCUUUUAAGAAGAGACAAGGAAACUAGAAAGACGAGUGCUUCUUGAAGGCUUUGUCCCUUGGGCUGCUGGGUUUAAUUGUCUAAAGGCCUUGAGGAAGGACAGCCCAGGAUCUGGGAUAGGCAAUGUGUCUAACAGGGUGAACUAUCUGCUAAGCUCUUUGAUCCACGGCACCCAGCAAGCACCCAGCACCUUCUGCCUGCUGCUCUGGAGGCCGUCUCCUUGCUGCAUGCAUCUGCAGUGGCCAUUAUCUUUACGCAGGAGCUUUUUUCCCCCCCUAGUGGGCUCCUCUGGCCCCUUCUCAUCUUUUGCUUUCUCCUUUCAGAAAGGCCUUCCCUGACCUUUCCAUCUGAAGUAGGCCUUUUCUUCUUGACUCCCUGUCACCUCACGCCGCUGUCCAUCACUCUGUGGACACUCUGUGUCUACUGUAGUUCCUGACAUUUCUCCUGCUUGUACUCUGUAGAGUGUAAACACUAUGGAAUCAUGGACUUGGUGUAUCUGAUUUUUUUUUUGGAACAUGUAAAUGUGUGUGUGGUAUGUACAUGGAUGUAUAUGCAUGUUUGGACACAUGCACAUGGGUAGAAGCCAGAAGUUGAUGUAUUUGACGUCUUUGACUGUUGUCCACCUUCUACACUGAGGCAUGAUCUUCCAGCCAAGAGUGGAGGACUUGUUGAUUCAGUGAGUCAAGCUGCUCUUCCUGGUCUGGUAACCCCUGGCUCUGCUUUCCAAGUGCUGGUGUUAUAGGCAGGCCACCAGGUCCACCUGGCAUUUCUGUGGGUGCUGCUGUCUGGACUCUGGUUCUCAUAUUUCCACAGCAUGCGCCUUACCCACUGAGACCUCUCCCCAGUCCUGGUCUUAGGUGUAUCCCAUCGUCCCCACAGAAUGUACAAGGUACAGUAGAUCUUCAGGACUUGUUUUUGUCUCGGAAACAAGAAUGGAAGAGAUGUAUAAACACGCCGUAAGAGCCUCUGUGUGGGUUUAAGAGGGCUCUUCUUCCCUCCGUGAUGAUCGUGGUCUUGCGUCUUGAGAUGAAGCCUCUCUAGUUAGGUCAUAGAGGCUCAACAACAACAACAACAAUAACAACAACCAACCAUCUAAACUGUAGGGUGUUGGUGCCAGAAGAGGUCUGCAGGCCAGCAACAUGAGCAUUUUCUGAGCUUUUUUCAGACAUAUAAAACCAGAGGACUCUUACCAAUCCUACAUCCAAAUCUACACACACUUCCCCAAGUGAUACAUGAAUACACUGGUGAAUGAGACAUCCUGAUGGAGAGAGGACUCAUCUGGUGCGGGGAGGACUCAUCUGGUAGAGGGAAGACUCAUCUGGUGGAGGGAGGACUCAUCUGGUAGAAGAAGGACUCAUCUGGUGCUCUGUUGUCUUACACGCCUUCGCGACCGGCCAGGAAAGACGCAACAAACCGGAAUCUUCUGUGGCAAAAGCUUUAUUGCUUACAUCUUCAGGAGCCAGAGAGCAAGAGAGCCAGAGCAAGAGCAAGAGAGAGCAAGAAAGCAAGAAAAAGAACAAGAACAAGAAAGCAAGAGAGAGCAAGAAAGCAAGAAAAAGAACAAGAACAAGAAAGCAAGAGAGAGAACAAGAACAAGAAAGC